ensembl:lncRNA FAM66C family with sequence similarity 66 member C
AUGCGCGGUCUGCCUCCCGCGGCGGGCCGGGUCUCCAGGGAGGACCUGAGUUUUUCUUCACCCAUGGUCAGGGAGGCGCCAUCGCCCUGGCUUUGGGGCUGGGGCCUCCGGGGAGGUUCCGGUAGGGGCGUUGGAGAGGCCGCUCUUUUUGCAAGGCCCGAGAUGGCGGGCCCUGCGCAGGCCGCCCUAUUCCGCGCCCUCAGGGCGUCAGUAUCCGCCUGAGGCCGGAUACCCACUCUGGGCUCGGAUACCCGCGCUGGGCCCGGAGCAUCCUCGGCGCUGCCCUCCCAGAGCCCCGCAGAGGCUGAGGUGGCGCGGGGGCGGCCCCGGCUCCGCGAGAAGAGGCGGCAGCGAGGGCUGGAGGACCCGGGCUACGGGGCUCCGGGGCGUCUGGCCUGGGUGGGACUGAGCCCAUCCAGGGACUGGGACUCCGGGGUUCUGGUGUAGGUGGAUCCCGGGCAGGCUCAGGACCAAGACCCUCUCCUUCCACCAAGGAGCGCCCAGAGGCCGGCGGGAGCUCCAGGUUCACCUCCUCCUCCUCCAGGGACGACUUGAGAAGGCAUCCUGACCCUAUGCAGAAAUGCAGAAACACUUCCAUGAGCUAAACAACCUAUGUGAAGGCCUGAAAGCCAAAGCAAGAUCCUCUUAUUACAAAGCUGUCCAACAAAAAGUUUUCCAAGUAACACUGGAGGUCCAUCACUCACUCUUCCUGGUCUGGAAAUGCCAGAAAUGUCCUCCUUGGUCCUUCUGAGAGUCAAGAUCUUUUCAAAGUCACCUCAGGAGCCACAGAACCACUCCAUCCUACCUGAAAUUGCAGGAUGACUCUUCUUUUGACCAGAGUCUCAAAAAUAUAUUCGUUGAUAAUUUUGAUUCCUGGGAGCCGCCAUUGCUUGCAAAAGAUGUGCCAGGGACUAGACAUUUUCUGUCUCCUCACUUGUCCGGGGAAGACUGAAGUUUUACUGAAACACAGAGAUGGGAAUCUGACCCUCUGAGCAGCCUCAGGAUUUUCUAAGUCUUCCAAGCAGAGUGGAAAUACUGGAAAUCCCACUUCCAGCUGGAUGUCUGGAUGAACUCCUGAAAGCUGCUGAGUGUCCUGCAGCAGGUGAGCUGUGGCCAGAGCCCAAGGAUGAAGGGGACUCCCUCACUCUGUGACUGUGAAGAGGAAGCCUGAGGUGUAGCAGGCCCAGGCCCCAGAAGUAUGGAAAAAAUGAGGCCAUUUCCAAUCCAGAGGAAGACCUUCUAGAAGAAGUGAUGGGUGGGAGAGUGCUGACAUACUAUGCAAAGCUACUAUUUGGAGUUGGACACGAGUGCAUGUGACCUUGUGCCACAGCGGGAAUGUGAGCUGGAUGACAAAUGGAGAUUUGGACUUGUGAUAAUUGGCCUCUGUGUCAUUGUGUGGAAGACUGACUGGUCCCUUUAUUUCCUGUAGCUUGACUACCACACAAAUUAAUCCACUCAAAUGUUGGCAAGUGGAGCAGAGUCCCAGGACAGGUACAGAAACACCCCCAGUUCAAGGAUCUUCACACCUGGAUUUAGGCCUACACCUGCAACUACCCCAGGCCAGUUAUCCAGGCAGUGACUUUCUGUACAGCUACAGUCACCUCUGGACACCUGCGGAGACUUUAAAAAUUUCCAGAAGGUCAGGAAUUUUUGGAGACCUUUCUUAUGGCUACGUUGCCUGCAAAGGUGAAUCAAUAAGCUUCUGAACUGACUUAGAAAAUGUUGCAGAGACUCUUGUGAACAGAUAGACCCUCUCCUGCCACUCCAGAUAGACGUAUCCGGGUCACACACACCUGAUUUAACAACAUCUCAUUAUCUCAGAUAUAAUACGUAAGUUUGGAGGUGGAUGCUUUCAGCCAUUAAGUUCAAAAGUACUGCCACAAGGGCCAGGCAUGGUGGCUCACACCUGUAAUCCCAACCCUUUGGGAGGUCAAAGCAAGCAGAUCACGAGAUCAGGAAACUGAGACCAUCCUAGCCAACAUGGUGAAAUCCCAUCUGUACUAAAAGUACAAAAAUUAGCUGAGUGUGGUAGUAUGUGCCUGUAGUCCCAGCUACUUGGGAGGCUGAGGCAGGAGGAUUGCUUGAACCCGGGAGGCAGAGGUUGCAGUGAGUCGAGAUUGCGCCAUUGCAGCGCAGCCUGGUUACAGAGUGAGACUCCGUCUCCCAG